UACGGGGGGGGUAAGCGUUGUUCGGAAUUACUGGGCGUAAAGGGCUCGUAGGCGGCCAACUAAGUCAUACGUGAAAUCCCUCAGCUUAACUGGGGAACUGCGUCUGAUACUGGAUGGCUUGGAUUUGGGAGAGGGAUGCGGAAUUCCAGGUGUAGCGGUGGAAUGCGUAGAGAUCCGGAAGAACACCGGGGGCGAAGGCGGCUCGCUGGGCAUGGUCCGACGCUGAGGCGCGAAAGCGUGGGGAGCGAACAGG
rnacentral:rRNA from 1 species